rnacentral:rRNA from 1 species
UACAGAGGGUGCGAGCGUUAAUCGGAAUUACUGGGCGUAAAGCGCGCGUAGGCGGCUUUGCAAGUCGGGUGUGAAAUCCCCAGGCUUAACCUGGGAACUGCAUUCGAGACUGCAUUGCUAGAGUAUGGGAGAGGGAAGUGGAAUUUCCGGUGUAGCGGUGAAAUGCGUAGAUAUCUGGAGGAACACCGGUGGCGAAGGCGGCAUCCUGGACCGGUAUUGACGCUGAGGCGCGAAAGCUAGGGGAGCAAACGGG